rnacentral:tRNA from 1 species
GCGCGAGUGGCGGAAUUGGCAGACGCGCUGGAUUUAGGUUCCAGUACUCGAAGAGUGUGAGGGUUCAAGUCCCUUCUCGCGCA